rnacentral:rRNA from 1 species
AUGGGGUGCAGACUGCAGAGUCAUUCUAGUCCCCCGGUAAUAACAACCCCGCUUCCCUCUUGCUUCUCCCAUUUCCAGGCCCCAGGCGCCGGCGCCGCCACACGGCCGCACCCCGUCUGCCUGAUCUCCCACUCCAGUACUCUCUGUCACCACGGCCGCUCAGGGCGCCCGCAUCGUCCUCGUCACGUUAUCCCGCGCCACUCCUCGGCGGCAGGCAGGACGGCGCGGCCUCGACGUCGGCGUCUGUUCUUCUAG